rnacentral:tRNA from 1 species
CCUCUCAUGGCGUAGUGGUCAACGCGCCCCAACUAGAGAUCGGGGAGUCGUGAGUUCGAUUCUCACUGAGAAGA